UGAGGAAUAUUGGGCAAUGCCCGCAAGGGUGACCCAGCAACGCCGCGUGGAGGAUGAAUGUCGUAAGAUUGUAAACUCCUGUUAGAGGGGAAGAAUAGUACCGGUUGGACCGGUAUAUGACUGUACCCUCAGAGAAAGCCCCGGCUAACUACGUGCCAGCAGCCGCGGUAAUACGUAGAGGGCAAGCGUUGUCCGGAUUUACUGGGUGUAAAGGGCGCGCAGGCGGGAUAAAAAGUCAGUGGUGAAAUCCUACAGCUUAACUGUAGAACUGCCUUUGAUACUUUUAUUCUUGAGUUCGGGAGAGAGAGACGGAAUUCCAGGUGUAGUGGUGAAAUACGUAGAUAUCUGGAAGAACACCAGUUGCGAAGGCGGUCUCUUGGUCCGACACUGACGCUGAGGUGCGAAAGCGUGGGGAGCAAACA
rnacentral:rRNA from 1 species